AUUGAACGCUGGCUGCAGGCCUAACACAUGCAAGUCGAACGAGUUGCGGACGGGUGAGUAAUGUCUGGUAAACUGCCUGAUGGAGGGGGAUAACUCCUGGAACCGGUAGCUAAUACCGCAUACCAUCGGAUGUGCCCAGGUGGGAUUAGCUAGUAGGUGGGGUAAAGGCUCACCUAGGCGACGAUCCCUAGCUGGUCUGAGAGGAUGACCAGCCACACUGGAACUGAGACACGGUCCAGACUCCUACGGGAGGCAGCAGGGGGGAAUAUUGCACAAUGGGCGAAAGCCUGAUGCAGCCAUGCCGCGUGUAUGAAGAAGGCCGUCGGGUUGUAAAGUACUUUCAGCGGGGAGGCGUUACCCGCAGAAGAAGCACCGGCUAACUCCGUGCCAGCAGCCGCGGUAAUAC
rnacentral:rRNA from 1 species